UACAACUGAACAAACAGCCGUUCAUUGGCAAUUCUCCUAAUAAUAAAGACAAAUAUUUAUCAAGUUUUGAAACUAAUACUUGCAUGUCUUGGGCUUUACCCGUCUGACAAUUGAUUUUUGUUUUCAAAAAAUUAUUUAAAAUAAUUUUUCUCUCAAUUCCAUGAAUAAUUGGGAAAAUAAGAUCAAUUAACUUGGUUUUUCUUAUAAAAAAUUUAGAUUCGAAAUAUUCUUUCUCAUCUUCAAAAUUUGAAACAAAAUCUUUUAAACUAUAGAUUUCUCCUUGACUCAUUCUUUUUGUGAUGAAAUAUUCAAACUCUGUGAGCAAAGAAGGCAGCCCGGCCAUUGUAAUUUUAAUUAAAUUGCAAAUAUCUUGACUAAAAUUUAAUUUUUUGAUUAGAAUUAAAUCCAAACAUUUGUUUUUUUUUUCGAAGUUACAAAAAUCAAUCAUACAAUAAACAUUCUUGUUAAUAAUAAUAUUAAGAUCAACAGCUGUCUUAACCUUAUGAAAUAACUCUUGGAAUUUACCUGAAGCAAAGAGAAUAUAUUUAUCAUCUAUUUGCGAAAUAUUGAUAUUAGUUGUCAUAUUUACUUUAUUUUCGCAUUGAAAUUUCCUAGAAAUGGGUAAAGGUAUAAUUGGAUUACGAUUAAUUAUCACUAGAUUAAACAAAUUUCUUUUCAGAGUUGUAGAAACGCAGCCACUUUCAGGCGAUCGCUUGGUUUCAUUUAUUUGUUUAAUAAAGUCAUUUCUUGGAAUACCUUUAUUGCAAUUUCUACUUUUCAUUUUGGAUAAGUUUAUGAUAAUAGCAGCUGAGGGUAUAUCAUUGAUUCCCAAUAAAAUACUACCAAAAUUUAAAGAAUGAUAUACUUCUUGUAAUAGCUUAAAACUAUUCCUUCCGACAGGAGAUGUCAGAGGAAAUAACUUAAUAGCAGUUGGACUCCAGUGAGAAGGCACAAAACCUAUAAUUUUCAUAGAAAUGUUAUCAACUAACCUAUCCCAUCCUUUUUUUUGAAACUCAUUUUCCAUAAUUGCGAUAAUAUUCUCCUGUUCUACCACCUCUCCUUCCUCUGAGUCAGAUAAAUCUGUCGGGUCAAUCUUUCUAUCGAUAUACUCGUUGUAAGCAUUUUUGUCCACAUAUUUCAAUAAAUAAUUGUUUUUUUCUGCAAAUAGUGUUAAUAUAGUAUUUCCACCGAAGAAUAGGUUUGAAAAAUCUAACCUUAAAGUUAAUAAGUUCAGCGAAUUUGCAAUUAUUACAUCAGAAUAGCUCAGUAAACAUCUUGAAUCUACACAAGAUAUUUUAAUUUGAUGAUUACUUUGAUUCGUAAUAAUAGUUGGUCUUUUAUCACUACUUAUAGAAAGAAGUACUUUAGAAUAUUUAAUUAUUAAAAUC
rnacentral:antisense_RNA from 1 species